GGUGUGAUGCCCCAAAGCAUGUCAUCCAAGAGAGAUAAGUCAAGGCCGUAUUUCAAGGAUGGUGGCAUGACUGCUUCAAGGACAGCAUGGAAUAUGGCGAGACAGUACGUUUGGUAUAUUUGCAGCUGCCUAGAGACGAUCUGAACAUUCCUAAUGAGCUUGAGGGGACAAUGACCAACCAAAUGAUGAGCAGGGAGCACCUCCACCAAGAACAGGAAAGCCUCAAGAGAAACAAAGUGCAAUAACAGCUUCCUCUGAACAUGGUGGUCUCCCAGCCUCCCUCAAUUGCUGUCCCUCUUCAAACAGAACACACUCAAACCCUUCAUGUCUCCAUCCCGUGGCACUGGGCUUGAUCAGGAUGCAUUUCAAUCAGA
rnacentral:lncRNA from 1 species